UUGAUCCUGGCUCAGAACGAACGCUAGCGGCGUGGAUUAGGCAUGCAAGUCGAGCGGGAUCGUCUUGCUUCAAUCCUUCGGGAGAGAAGCUUGACGUGAGAGCGGCGAACGGGUGAGUAACACGUGGGCAAUCUGCCCUGAAGUUUGGGAUAGCCCGCCGAAAGGCGGAUUAAUACCAAAUGUGGUCGUUUCACGCAUGUGAAACAUUCUAAAGGUGGGGAUCUUCGGACCUGCCGCUUCAGGAUGAGCCCGCGUUCUAUCAGCUUGUUGGUGAGGUAACGGCUCACCAAGGCUGCGACGGAUAGCUGGUUUGAGAGAAUGGUCAGCCACACUGGGACUGAGACACUGCCCAGACUCCUACGGGAGGCUGCAGUCGAGGAUCUUGGACAAUGUGCGAAAGCAUGAUCCAGCGACGCCGCGUGCAGGAUGAAGGCCUUCGGGUCGUAAACUGCUGUCAUAAGGGAGAAACGCUUUGAGGUUAAUAACCUCAGAGUUUGAUAGUACCUUAAGAGGAAGCCACGGCUAACUCUGUGCCAGCAGCCGCGGUAAUACAGAGGUGGCGAGCGUUGUUCGGAAUUACUGGGCGUAAAGGGUGCGUAGGCGGCAUGGUGUGUCGGAUGUGAAAGCUCACGGCUUAACCGUGGAAUUGCAUUCGAAACUGCCAAGCUAGAGUACUGGAGAGGAGAGCGGAAUUCUUGGUGUAGCGGUGAAAUGCGUAGAGAUCAAGAAGAACGCCAGCGGCGAAGGCGGCUCUCUGGACAGAUACUGACGCUGAGGUACGAAAGCCGGGGUAGCGAAGAGGAUUAGAUACCCUCGUAGUCCCGGCCGUAAACGUUGUGCACUUGGUGUGGGAGGAGUUAUCCCCUUCCGUGCCGGAGUUAACGCGUUAAGUGCACCGCCUGGGGAGUACGGCCGCAAGGCUAAAACUCAAAGGAAUUGACGGGGGCCCGCACAAGCGGUGGAGCAUGUGGCUUAAUUCGAUGCAACGCGAAGAACCUUACCAGGGCUUGAAAUAUAGCUGCAUAUGACCCGAAAGGGACAUAGCCUUCGAGGGUGCUAUACAGGUGCUGCAUGGCUGUCGUCAGCUCGUGCCGUGAGGUGUUGGGUUAAGUCCCGCAACGAGCGCAACCCCUGUCGUUAGUUGCCACCUGAGGAGAGAUCCUCAGAGCACUCUAGCGAGACUGCCCGUGACAAGCGGGAGGAAGGUGGGGAUGACGUCAAGUCAGUAUGGUCCUUAUGCCCUGGGCUGCACACGUGCUACAAUGGACAGUACAAAAGGAAGCAAAACCGCGAGGUCGAGCAAAUCCCCAAAACUGUCCCCAGUUCAGAUUGCAGUCUGCAACUCGACUGCAUGAAGCCGGAAUCGCUAGUAAAGGCGUAUCAGCUACGACGCCUUGAAUACGUUCCCGGGCCUUGUACACACCGCCCGUCACAUCAUGAGAGCCGAUUGCACCCGAAGUCACCGGGCUAACCUUAACUGGAGGCAAGGUGCCGAAGGUGUGAUUGGUGAUUGGGAUGAAGUC
rnacentral:rRNA from 1 species